AGAGUUGUAUCCUGGCUCAGAGCGAACGCUAGCGGCGGGCUUAACACAUGCAAGUCGAGCGCCCUUCGGGGAGCGGCGAACGGGUGAGUAACACGUGGCUAACCUGCCCACUGGAGGGGGAUAACCCGGGGAAACCCGGGCUAAUACCGCGUAUGGCCUACGGGUCAAAGUCUUCGGACGCCAGUGGAUGGGGCCGCGGCCCAUUAUUUAAUCCUGGUUGGUGAGGUAACGGCUCACCAAGGGUACGAUGGGUAGCUGGUCUGAGAGGACGAUCAGCCACACUGGGACUGAGACACGGCCCAGACUCCUACGGGAGGCAGCAGUGGGGAAUAUUGCGCAAUGGGGGAAACCCUGACGCAGCCACGCCGCGUGAGUGAUGAAGGCCUUCGGGUUGUAAAGCUCUGUCGGGAGGGAAGAAGUUCUGACGGUACCUCCCAAGAAAGCACCGGCUAACUCCGUGCCAGCAGCCGCGGUAAUACGGAGGGUGCAAGCGUUGCUCGGAAUCACUGGGCGUAAAGCGGACGCAGGCGGAUCAGUAGGUCAGGCGUGAAAGCCCGGGGCUCAACCCCGGAACUGCGCUUGAAACCGCUGGCCUGGAAUACGGGAGAGGGGAGUGGAAUUCCUGGUGUAGAGGUGAAAUUCGUAGAUAUCAGGAGGAACACCUGUGGCGAAAGCGGCUCCCUGGCCCGAUAUUGACGCUCAUGUCCGAAAGCGUGGGUAGCAAA
rnacentral:rRNA from 1 species